GUGCCAGCAGCCGCGGUAAUUCCAGCUCCAAUAGCGUAUAUUAAAGUUGUUGCAGUUAAAAAGCUCGUAGUUGGAUCUCGGGCGCAGGCGGGCGGUCCGGCUCGCGCCGGCUCGCCGCCCGUUCACCUGCCCCACCCCUGCCGGCUCCCUCCCGGUGGUGCUCUUCGCUGAGCGUCCCGGGUGGCCGGCGCGUUUACUUUGAAAAAAUUAGAGUGUUCAAGGCGGGCCCGCCGAGCCCGAAUAACUGCGCAUGGAAUAAUGGAAUAGGACCUCGGUUCUAUUUUGCUGGUUUUCGGAAUCCGAGGUAAUGAUUGACGGGGACAAACGGGGGCAUUCGUAUUGCGGCGUUAGAGGUGAAAUUCUUGGAUCGCCGCAAGACGGGCUACUGCGAAAGCAUUUGUCAAGAAUGUUUUCAUUAAUCAAGAACGAAAGUCAGAGGCGCGAA
rnacentral:rRNA from 1 species